rnacentral:rRNA from 1 species
GACGAACGCUGGCGGCGUGCCUAAUACAUGCAAGUCGAACGCUUCUUUCCUCCCGAGUGCUUGCACUCAAUUGGAAAGAGGAGUGGCGGACGGGUGAGUAACACGUGGGUAACCUACCCAUCAGAGGGGGAUAACACUUGGAAACAGGUGCUAAUACCGCAUAACAGUUUAUGCCGCAUGGCAUAAGAGUGAAAGGCGCUUUCGGGUGUCGCUGAUGGAUGGACCCGCGGUGCAUUAGCUAGUUGGUGAGGUAACGGCUCACCAAGGCCACGAUGCAUAGCCGACCUGAGAGGGUGAUCGGCCACACUGGGACUGAGACACGGCCCAGACUCCUACGGGAGGCAGCAGUAGGGAAUCUUCGGCAAAGGACGAAAGUCUGACCGAGCAACGCCGCGUGAGUGAAGAAGGUGUUCGGAUCGUAAAACUCUGUUGUUAGAGAAGAACAAGGACGUUAGUAACUGAACGUCCCCUGACGGUAUCUAACCAGAAAGCCACGGCUAACUACGUG